UACGUAGGGGGCGAGCGUUGUCCGGAUUUAUUGGGCGUAAAGAGCUCGUAGGCGGUUUGGUAAGUCGGGUGUGAAAUCUCCACGCUCAACGUGGAGGGGCCCCUCGAUACUGCCAUGACUCGAGUCCGGUAGAGGAGUGUGGAAUUCCCGGUGUAGCGGUGAAAUGCGCAGAUAUCGGGAGGAACACCCGUAGCGAAAGCGGCUCUCUGGAACGGUACUGACGCUGAGACGCGAAAGCGUGGGGAGCGAACAGG
rnacentral:rRNA from 1 species